GGUUCAGGAUGAACGCUAGCUACAGGCUUAACACAUGCAAGUCGAGCGGAACACUUCGGGUGUUAGCGGCAGACGGGUGAGUAACACGUAUCCAACCUUCCCUUACUCGGGUAUAGCCUCGGGAAACUGAGAGUAAUCCCCGAUGUGGUGCACUGAAAGCAUUUUUUGCGCACGAAAGAUUAAUCGGUAAGGGGUGGGGAUGCGUUCCAUUAGGUAGUAGGCGGGGUAACGGCCCACCUAGCCGAUGAUGGAUAGGGGUUCUGAGAGGAAGGUCCCCCACAUUGGAACUGCGACACGGUCCAAACUCCUACGGGAGGCAGCAGUGAGGAAUAUUGGUCAAUGGGCGAGAGCCUGAACCAGCCAAGUAGCGUGCAGGAAUGACGGCCCUAUGGGUUGUAAACUGCUUUUGUGCGGGAAUAACGGUCGCCACGUGUGGUGAUGUGCAUGUACCGUACGAAUAAGGAUCGGCUAACUCCGUGCCAGCCGCCGC
rnacentral:rRNA from 1 species